UCCCUGGUGGUUUAGACAAUAAAGAAUCUGCCUGCAAUGCAGGAGACCCAGGUUCAAUCCCUGGGUCAGAGAA
rnacentral:tRNA from 1 species